rnacentral:rRNA from 1 species
UACGUAGGGUGCGAGCGUUGUCCGGAAUUAUUGGGCGUAAAGAGCUUGUAGGCGGUCUGUCGCGUCUGCUGUGAAAGUCCGGGGCUCAACCCCGGACUUGCAGUGGGUACGGGCAGACUAGAGUGUGGUAGGGGAGACUGGAAUUCCUGGUGUAGCGGUGAAAUGCGCAGAUAUCAGGAGGAACACCGAUGGCGAAGGCAGGUCUCUGGGCCACUACUGACGCUGAGAAGCGAAAGCAUGGGGAGCGAACAGG